UUUAGUGUUUACUGCUUUACGUUGGAGGAAGAAUCUGAGAUAUCAUGGACGUCGUUUCGAGAAACUCCGGCGACAUCACCGACAUCUCCUCCUCCGUUACCGACGAUCUUAUCUUGCCGCCUCUCCAAUGGAUGAUAGCUCAGAUUAUGAAAGAGUUUUUAAGGAAAUAGAGGAGCACAUGAUUAAUUGUAUACGCACGGCGCUUCUGUAUGAGUAAUUCGCUUUGUUUGUGGAAGCAAAAGGCAGAAGGAUAGAUGCUUGUAUGAUAUAUCAUCUUGGUAUCUCAAGAAAUGCUGAGCCACUGGGGAGACUAAAGAAAGCUCAGGUUCUAUUUCUUGAGAGUGCCUGAAAGAGUAACUAACAGAACAUUUCAGAAGAUGAAAGAUGGUGUGUCUGUAGAAAAUUGCAUACUAUUUUCUUAGGGAUACCUUUCAAGUAAUAAAGCAUAUCCUGGAAAAGUGGCGUGAAAUCAACUAAAAAUAAAAGGUAAGCAAUUUAGAAAAUAUGCAUAGUUGACAUAAACUUCCAUAUUCUGUUCUUGAAUGUUUUUGUAUGAUGUUUCUGUGUCUGUCUCGAAUGGUCAACUCGAGUUAGUUGCAUAUGCAUAUGCAUAUGCUAGUAUUGGAGCAUGUAGAAUAGCACUGAAUGCCCUGUCUGUUGCUAGUUACUAUACAAUAUGCAUGCUUAAUUGGUCACCUGGAGUUUUACUGGAAAUAUUAGAUGCAAUGUCUAUAAAUGGUUCUUGGUUAAGUUACUUAGGCAGGAUAGUAUAAAAAAGAGGAAGUUAGAGGCAGAUCAGGGCAUCCUAAAGGAUAUUAUCUUUCGAUUUUUAUAGAGAUGGAUGAAUUUAGGAAAGUGAAUUAACAUAUGUUCAGAGGUGGUUAAUUCUUUGAUUGCCUUUUAUGUUGGUGGUAAAAUUGCAUUUAUGUCUCUUACUUUAUUAUCUUUUACUUCAUUUUUCUCCUAUUUCAUUCUCUUUUAUAGUACGCAUUUCCAAAUGGAACGAAGGGAGUAUUGUACAAUUUGCAAUUCCAGAUCAAAAAAGUAUUAUGGAUACUCA